rnacentral:misc_RNA from 1 species
CAACAAAUGGGUCAUCGAUGGACUGUACUUUCUGGAUCCUUCACCUUGUUUUCAUUUUUACUCCAUUUGCUUCCUUUUAAUUCUGGUCAUACGUUGACUUUUGUCCUCAUCUUUUUGGCUUGUAUCAUUACCUUCUCCAGUUUUUUUCCAUCUGCAUGAACUGUUUUGAAUGGAUUGGCCUUUUAUUGAUAAUAAGUUUGAAAAGCAUGCCAUCUUGAAGUUUGUACUGGACAUUAUUGUGCAGUUGACUUUGUAGUCUGUUAGUUUCAUGAUUUACAUCAAUGUUCUGCAUGGCCUCUUUGGCUUCUCAAUACAUAUACUAUUUUUCCUGAUACAAGGCAAGGUGAAAUGGGAAAUUCAUAAGCUAUUGAUGACUAGCUCACCUGUUGCCAUCAAAUCUCUAUUGAAAAUUUAGCAAGAAAUCCAUUUGGUUUGUUGGGCCAAUUUUCAAUUGUUAUUAUCAGCUAGACCUUUCACCUUUUCUACAAGUGAUUGAACUAUUGAGCCAUCCUCUUCCAGUUUGUUUGGCAUUGAAUACAACUAAUUGUUGCUUAAGAUAUUAAGAUGUUAGCUUCUCCAUGUUCAGUGGUCUUGACAACCAAGGUU